GCCUGCCGGUUGGAACGGUAGCCCCUCGGCGCGGAGGGCGAUGAGGCCGGCGCCGAAGUGAGCGCGGCACGGAGGGGUCUGCCUAACUGGGGCCCGUGGCCCUGCGUCUUCUGGCUGCGACGCGGGUUCUGCGCACGCUGUGGGUCGCAGCCGCCGGGCGGUGGGCGCCUGAGGGGCCGGGAGGCGAGCCGGGUCCCCAGGCGGGUGUGGGCAUCGUGUCCACAGCCAGCGUCCCCGAGGCCGCGCUCGGGCCAUGAUGACUCGGUGAAGCUGCGCGGCCACAGCGCGGCCGGCUUCUUACCGCGCUGUGAGGACCUGUGCGCGCUGCAAGACUCGCGCUCGAGGGAGUAAGAAGACAUGGAGUGAAGAGCUGCCUCAUUUUCCAGAGAGAAUAGGGGCACUGAGAGCUUGGAGGGACGGCGGUAGCUGUCACAGUGUUUUGUCCUGAAUUUUUACCUCCUGGAAUCCAGGAUGGGCCCCUUCCCCACCCCGCCAGCUGGAUGAGUGAUCACAGUGGAAUAAUGAUGCCAGGAGGCUCAGAGAGCUUGCAAUGUGUUUCGGGAAACCAGGCAUAUCCCCAUGAAGCAGAAGCUCACUGAACAAGGCAGCAGGAACUUUUGCCUCCAAGGAUGCAGAUGGUGAUAAAGAUUGCAGUUGUCUGAGGCUACAGGGGAUGAACUGGAACCAUAGCCUGCGCUCAGAGACAUGCGGAUCCCAGAAGGAAAAGGGUGAAAGGCGAGUUCUAACUAAUCUGAAAUUUGAUAUUCCAAGAGCUUCCUUUAAAAGGCCCUUUUAAAAUUCUUUUCCUUCCUCUUAAAAAAUUCAGUUAUCAAAUGUUGUCCACUAUCAAAUGAUGUCCUUUCCAUACAGUGAAAAAUAUACACUAAGGAAAGAAAAAGGGCAAGACUCAUGCUCUAUGAUUCCUUGUUGAACAAGGAAAAGCAUUUGGACUGUUCUCACCCCGUGAUGAGUUCCUUUUCCUCUCCUUCCUUGCUUUGGUUGAUGAUGUGAGUCUAAGCAAUUCACUGAAGCCACGUGAGAACAAGCAAAAGUCAGGGUCCAAGCAGAAUUACUAGCUUGGGGAAUGCCUGUCUCUCUGGACCUCCCUGUGAGGCCAGUGAGGAUUUCCAGACUUUCGCAGACUUUAAAAUCAGCUCUCCUGAGACUGAAUGAGGUGCAAAAGGAAACUGUCUUCUCAGGUUGGGUGGACCAUGAGGGAAAGAACGGAUGGAUAAAUCCAGGGAAGGUGCAUACUCUGUCCUCCCAAACAAUCUAAAAUGACCUUCACAUGCCCUCCAGGGUGGCCCCGGGAAACACAUCACUAGAUUCCUCCAGGCUUUACCUUGCUCUGCUUCCCAGAGCCUGUGUUACACAGGCAGAAACACCACCGUCAUAUUUCUCCCUGCCCUCAGGAACAUUCACCAGUUGGGGGGAAAAUAAGGCCAGAAAAUUGUGGCUAUGGGCUCUGUUUUGUGGAAGUUAAAAUGCUGGUGCAGGAAUCUGAUUGCUUGAUAACUCCCUCUCUCUCUCCAUCUCUCUCUCUCUCCCUUCCUCCCUCUCUCCCUCCCUCUCUCUCUCUCACCCUCCACCCUUUCUCGGCUCUCCCUCUCUCCCACCCCCACUUUUUCUACUCUCCCCUUUUCCCUCCACUGG